AUGUACCACGCGUCCACUCCGGUUCCUCCGCCCCGUCCACACCCACCUGACGACUGCUCGCGACGUAUUGGUAGCC
rnacentral:sRNA from 1 species